UUUCAGGUAUAGCACCACACCACACCAUGAUUUGGCUUUUGGAGUGUUGUUUUGCUUUUGUAGUUCUGGGGAUUGAACCUUUAGGCUAGGGCUCUCCCACCAAACUGAGUUCCUAACCCAUGGAGGGUUUUUUGUUGUUGAUCAAUAAUACAUUCAGGUCAAAAGGAACUUUCUUAAGCAGAGUUUUUUUUUCUGUUCCAGCAAAUCGUAAGUCCAAGAACAUUCUUUACAUAAAAAUUAACAGUAAAAGAGAUUUAGGAGUGUUGUUCUUAGUUGAUUACAUGAAAAUUUAUCCUUUCUUAAACUAUAUCAACUGGAAAAUUAAAUUUAAUCAAAGAACCUUGAGGACAUUAUACCAAAUGAGGUAAGCCAGUUAAUAAAGAGACCAUAGUAUUUGAUUCUAAUUAGGCUCUUAGAAUAAUCAAAUUCAUAGAUACGUGAAGUAGAGUGGUGGAUGGUGGUUGCCACCACUGGGGAAGGGAUGCAUGGAAAAAUAACAGUUUAACACACAUGCUUGUAGUUUUACAAGAAAACAAAAAAAAAAAAAAAUACUAAAUGACUGGUGAUGGUAGCUCAGCACUUAAUACCAAUGAACCAAAUAUUUAUGAUAGUAAAUUUUGCUUUAACACAACUAAAAAAAAGUAUAAUUUUGGUAUAUGGGUAGAUCAUAACUAUUAUAACAAAGUAGACAUGGGAAUUUUCAAGUUUCUUAUACAAAUAUGAUUUUGGGUUUUUGUUUAUUUUUUGUUUUGGGUACUAGGAAUUGAAAUUGGGUCUCCUACAUGUUAAGCAGGCAGCACCAACCACACUACUCCAUCCCUAGCCUUAACAUCUAAAUCUCAUAUGAUAACAUUUUUACUUUAGCCUCUUCCAACUUUCACUUUUUUGAGAGCAUAAACUCAGGCCUUGUACAUGUUAGGCAAAUACUCGAUCACUGCUUUUCAAUUCCAGUUCUAGAGUCACUGUCUUAUCUGCAUCCUGUUUCACAGUCAGUAGGAUUACAGGAGCAUAUAGCAUCAUGCCCAGCUUUUUAUGUGGGUUCUGUGAGCCCAGUGCUUCACCGACUGAGCCAUCUCUCCAAGUCUUUGCUGUUUUUGUCUUAGAAAAAAACAUAAUGUGCACUGAACAAUUUUAGGUGAUUGUAUUUGUUUAAAUUAUAUAUAAGUGUUCCCAAGAUACUUAAUUAGUUUAAUGUUUGCAAAUUUUAUCUUUAACAUACAGAAUGGGGGCUGUGGAAAUAACACCUAAGAGGUAAUAGGUUUCUCUUUAAGUUGUAAAAAAAUUAUAAAACUGAUUAUGGUAAAAGUCACACAUUUUUACAUAUGCCAAAACCCACUGAACCAUAAAAAUUUAAGUGUGAAAUUUACGGCCUGUGAAUAAAAUAUCAAGGAAGUUAUCUUAUGUAGUUGAAGUAGUAAAAACCAUGAAAGCUAUGAUGUCUCAGCACUUGACAGGUCUUUAUUUCAUUUUAAUAAAGUUUUAUUCCCCAAUUGUG
rnacentral:lncRNA from 1 species